rnacentral:tRNA from 1 species
AAUAAAGUAAGCUAAUAAAGCUAAUGGGUUCAUACCCCAUAUAUAAAGGUUAUAAUCCUUUCUUUUUUA